rnacentral:lncRNA from 1 species
UUGUUGAUAUCAGAGUUGCCGGUUGACUUCCGUUUGUCCUUUGACAUCGUUUGUAUAUAAUCGAAGAUGUUGGACAGUUGCUGCUUCGUGGUUCAAGACAUUCUCUCUAUCUCAACUCCAAGUUAAAAGUCGAGAUGAUAGCCUUUCAGAAAUGAAAAUUAAAUACUGUGAAGUACCCGCUAAUUUAUGAGUUCAAAUCCUAGCGGAGUUGACUCUGCCUUUCAUCUAUCCGGAUCAAUGAUUACCGCACUGAUGUCACUGCCCUCACCGGAGAUCUUUCCGAAUUCAUGGGUACAAUCCUCAUCUUUGAGCCAAAACGAACGUGAAACUAAAUAUCGGUAUCUGCAAUAGACACGAAGCCUCAAAGGUUGAAUCGUCAGCGUGCUACUAUUAGUCAAGAAAUCAUUC